UCCCUGCUGGCUCAGACGGUAAAGGAGCUGCCUGCCAUGCAGGAGACCUGGGUUCAAUCCCUGGGUUGGGAA
rnacentral:tRNA from 1 species